rnacentral:rRNA from 1 species
UACGUAGGGUGCGAGCGUUGUCCGGAAUUACUGGGCGUAAAGAGCUCGUAGGUGGUUUUGUCGCGUUGUUCGUGAAAACCGGGGGCUUAACCCUCGGCGUGCGGGCGAUACGGGCAGACUUGAGUACUGCAGGGGAGACUGGAAUUCCUGGUGUAGCGGUGGAAUGCGCAGAUAUCAGGAGGAACACCGGUGGCGAAGGCGGGUCUCUGGGCAGUAACUGACGCUGAGGAGCGAAAGCGUGGGGAGCGAACAGG